ACAGCAAGAAGAAACAAAACCAGAGGAGAAGAAUGGAGCUGGAUUGUCUGUGAAGACCUUGUGAGGCUGCAGAGAAGCUGCACUCGUAAUGCAGAGAAUGCAGCUGGUGGAGCACUUUGAUUUAACUGUUGUUACUGAAAUCUGUGUAGCAUCAAGUGAUUUAGAGCAGGGAGUUAUCUUAGAAUUCUGGAAAGAUUCAAAAAUGCAUGUCUUUCUACUAGAUUGUAAGCUUGUCAGGGCCACAUCUGUCCUGCUUACUGCUGAAUCCCAGCUGGCAGAACGUAGACAUUUCAUAAUAUUUUUGGAGCAAAUGCAUCAAUCGGACUCUCAUGUGUAAAGGAGGGCACAGGAUGAAGGAACAGUGUGGUGACUUGGGACGCCAUGCCAUGCUGCUGCAACCAUGUCUGUCUGUGGCUGUAUGUGUGUGCUCUGCACCUCUAGAUGAACUCACCAAACAGCAUCUAUGGAAAAGCCCAUGGAACUGUCACUGCCAGGCCAAGAGAUGGGGUUUCGCCAUGUUGACCAGGCUGGUC